AGCUGUAGUUCUGUCAGUGUGUAGGUGUGUAGCUGUAGUUCUGUCAGUGUGUGUAGUUGUGUAGCUGUAGUUCUGUCAGUGUGUGUAGGUGUGAAGCUGUAGUUCUGUCAGUGUGUGUAGGUGUGUAGCUGUAGUUUUGUCAGUGUGUGUAGGUGUAGUUCUGUCAGUGUGUGUAGUUCUGUAGCUGUAGUUCUGUCAGUGUAUGUUGGUGUGUAGCUGUAGUUCUGUCAGUGUGUAUAGGUGUGUAGCUGUAGUUCUGUCAUUGUGUGUAGGUGUGUAGCUGUAGUUCUGUCAGUGUGUGUUGGUGUGUAGCUGUAGUUCUGUCAGUGUGUGUAGGUGUGUAGCUGUAGUUUUGUCAGUGUGUGUAGGUGUGUAGCUGUAGUUCUGUCAGUGUGUGUAGGUGUGUAGCUGUAGUUCUUUCAGUGUGUGUAGGUGUGUAGCUGUAGUUCUGUCAGUGUGU